rnacentral:rRNA from 1 species
AACGAACGCUGGCGGCAUGCCUAACACGUGCAAGUCGAACGAGACCUUCGGGUUUAGUGGCGCACGGGUGCGUAACGCGUGGGAAUCUGCCCUUCGGUUGGGAAUAACUGAGAGAAAUUUCAGCUAAUACCUUAUAAUGUCUUCGGACCAAAGAUUUAUCGCCGAGGGAUGAGCCCGCGUAGGAUUAGGUAGUUGGUGGGGUAAUGGCCUACCAAGCCGACGAUCCUUAGCUGGUCUGAGAGGAUGAUCAGCCACACUGGGACUGAGACACGGCCCAGACUCCUACGGGAGGCAGCAGUGGGGAAUAUUGGACAAUGGGCGAAAGCCUGAUCCAGCAAUGCCGCGUGAGUGAUGAAGGCCUUAGGGUUGUAAAGCUCUUUUACCCGGGAUGAUAAUGACAGUACCGGGAGAAUAAGCUCCGGCUAACUCCGUGCCAGCCGCCGCGGUAA